rnacentral:rRNA from 1 species
GACGAACGCUGGCGGCGUGCUUAACACAUGCAAGUCGAACGGAAAGGCCCUGCUUUUGUGGGGUGCUCGAGUGGCGAACGGGUGAGUAACACGUGAGUAACCUGCCCUUGACUUUGGGAUAACUUCAGGAAACUGGGGCUAAUACCGGAUAGGAGCUCCUGCUGCAUGGUGGGGGUUGGAAAGUUUCGGCGGUUGGGGAUGGACUCGCGGCUUAUCAGCUUGUUGGUGGGGUAGUGGCUUACCAAGGCUUUGACGGGUAGCCGGCCUGGGAGGGUGACCGGCCACAUUGGGACUGAGAGACGGCCCAGACUCCUACGGGAGGCAGCAGUGGGGAAUAUUGCACAAUGGGCGGAAGCCUGAUGCAGCAACGCCGCGGUCGUGAUGACGGCCUUCGGGUUGUAAACCGCUUUCGCCUGUGACGAAGCGUGAGUGACGGUAAUGGGUAAAGAAGCACCGGCUAACUACGUG